GAGCGCGCGAAGAAGAUGUGGAACGCGAAAUUCUGAUCAAGUGGCGCUCGAAAAAAUCGUGUGAUAAUUGUGCAGCAAACUCCCACAUGGUGGGACCAGGUUGGUGGAUCUUGCCUGCCGUGUGGUCCCUUCUCAUAUAUACUUUUUGAAAAAAAAUCCCAGGUUAGGUAUUGUUUAGCGCAAACCGUCUUGUCCAAGAAAGCGCUGUGCGGCGGCCUGAUAAUAGUAGCGGCCGCAAGUGGGAUCGGAAAGAGAGAGAGAGAG
rnacentral:lncRNA from 1 species